CUACGGGCGGCAGCAGUGGGGAAUAUUGCACAAUGGGCGCAAGCCUGAUGCAGCCAUGCCGCGUGUAUGAAGAAGGCCUUCGGGUUGUAAAGUACUUUCAGCGGGGAGGAAGGGAGUAAAGUUAAUACCUUUGCUCAUUGACGUUACCCGCAGAAGAAGCACCGGCUAACUCCGUGCCAGCAGCCGCGGUAAUACGGAGGGUGCAAGCGUUAAUCGGAAUUACUGGGCGUAAAGCGCACGCAGGCGGUUUGUUAAGUCAGAUGUGAAAUCCCCGGGCUCAACCUGGGAACUGCAUCUGAUACUGGCAAGCUUGAGUCUCGUAGAGGGGGGUAGAAUUCCAGGUGUAGCGGUGAAAUGCGUAGAGAGCUGGAGGAAUACCGGUGGCGAAGGCGGCACCCUGGACGAAGACUGACGCUCAGGUGCGAAAGCGUGGGGAGCAAACAGGAUUAGAUACCCCUGUAGUC
rnacentral:rRNA from 1 species